rnacentral:rRNA from 1 species
CCUACGGGUGGCAGCAGUGGGGAAUAUUGCACAAUGGGGGAAACCCUGAUGCUGCGACGCCGCGUGGGUGAAGAAGUAUUUCGGUAUGUAAAGCUCUAGCAGCAUGGAAGCAAAUGACGAUACCUGACUAAGAAGCGCCGGCUAACUACGUGUCAGCAGCCGCGGUAAUACGUAGGGGGCAAGCGUUAUCCGGAUUUGCUGGGUGUAAAGGGAGCGUAGACGGCCAGAAAAGUCAGAAGUGAAAGCCCAGGGCUCAACCCUGGGACUGCUUUUGAAACUGCCGGGCUGGAGUGCAGGAGAGGUAAGCGGAAGUCCUAGUGUAGCGGUGAAAUGCGUAGAUAGUAGGAGGAACACUAGUGGCGAAGGCGGCUUCCUGGACUGUAACUGACGUUGAGGCUCGAAAGCGUGGGGAGCAAACAGGAGUAGAUACCCGGGUAGUC